rnacentral:rRNA from 1 species
AUUGAACGCUGGCGGCAGGCCUAACACAUGCAAGUCGAACGAGUGGCGGACGGGUGAGUAAUGUCUGGGAAACUGCCUGAUGGAGGGGGCUAACUACUGGAAACGGUGGCUAAUACCGCAUACCCUCGGAUGUGCCCCGAUGGGAUUAGCUAGCAGGUGGGGUAAAGGCUCACCUAGGCGACGGUCCCUAGCGGGUCUGAGAGGAUGACCGGCCACACUGGAACUGAGACACGGUCCAGACUCCUACGGGAGGCAGCAGUGGGGAAUCUUGCACAAUGGACGAAAGUCUGAUGCAGCAAUGCCGCGUGUAUUAAGAAGGCCUUCGGGUUGUAAAGCCCUUUCGGCGGGGAAGCGUUACCCGCAGAGGAAGCCCCGGCUAACUCCGUGCCAGCAGCCGCGGUAAUUC